AGAAAACUAUUAUUGCCACACCUGCUGUCGUCAAAUAAAAUGUAAUUGAACUCGUUAUUUUCUUAAAUAAAAUUUAAUAACUCUUCUAAAUACUGCUUCGACAUAUUUUCAAGAGUAGAUAAUUAAGUGUCUGAUCCUGUAAAUGCUGGGACCCAAGAUUGCCAUAUUAAAUCAGCUACGUUACAUUUAUAAAACCACUAUGACUUCUUUGCUGGUUCCUCCAGUGUCAGUGCGCGGUAUGACAUGCUUGGAUCGUGAUGCAUUUACUACUACUAUAGAGAUACCUUGUUUGAAAUUGUAUAAAGUUAAAAUUUCACAAUUUAUGCCAAUAUUAAAAAAGUAUCUACUUAGGAUGCAGUGUCUAAAACCAGUUCAAAAUAGAGAUGAUGGUAUUAUUGUUUACCUUAAUCCAAAAAUUGUUGAAAAAUUUGAAGAUAUUGAUGAAAAUGAUAGAAACUUAUUAAAAGAUCAAUAUGAAUAUUUUGGAAAAACUUCAUUGACAUUAAAAUAUGAAAACUGGAAAUCAGAAGAUAUAUUGAAGUCUAUUCUUCCAGAAGUGAUUGAAACGCCUACAUCGUUCAGUCAAGUAGGACAUAUAGUACAUUUAAAUUUGCGCGAUGCACAAUUACCUUACAAGAAUAUCAUCGGACAAGUUUUUCUUGAUAAAAUACCAACUGCUCGUACAGUUGUAAAUAAAACAAAUACCAUAGACACAACAUAUCGUCAUUUUACUAUGGAAAUAUUGGCUGGUGAUAACAAUACUGUAACUACGGUCAAAGAAAAUGGCAGAAUAUAUCAAUUUGAUUUUGCUCAAGUUUAUUGGAAUCCACGUUUAUCUACAGAACAUAUGAAUUUAUUGACAUACAUGAAAGUUGACGAUGUCUUAUAUGAUGUCUUUGCAGGAGUAGGACCUUUUGCUAUUCCUGCAGCUCGCAAAAAAGUUCAAGUAUUUGCAAAUGAUCUAAAUCCAGAAUCGUACAAAUGGUUACAAAAAAAUGCUAUUAUUAAUAAAAUCAAACAGAACUUCCAAUGUUACAAUAUGGAUGGUAGAGAUUUUUUAAGAGAUAUAGUUAGAACUAAUAUUCUCAAUAGAAGAAAUAAUAAUACGAUUGGUAAGGAACACAUAGCUAUGAAUUUACCAGCUUUAGCUAUUGAAUUUUUAGAUGUGCUUCCAAAUUGGUUUACUCUAGAAGAAAUAAAGAAGGUCUGUUCUAAUCCACCUAUAAUACAUCUUUAUUGUUUUGUGAAAUUACCAAAAAAUGAAGAUCCAUGCAAAGCUGCAAAAUCUUUAGUAGAGAACAAACUUGGUUGCAAGUUGUAUCCCGAUUCAUUGGUCAAUAUCCAUAAUGUUAGAGAUGUUUCUCCGAAUAAAGAAAUGAUUCGUGUAUCAUUUUUGCUAACUGAAAAUGUACUUAAAGGCGAGGAGCCAGCAAUGAAGAAACAAAAAAUAGAAGAAUAUACUGAUCUCCAUUUAAAUCCUAAUGAUACAAAUAGCAAUUCUUGUUUGACUUAUAGAAAUAAAGACAACGAUGGGAAAAAAGAAAGUUACUCAUAAGACCAAAAAUGUAUUCCAAGUACCAACAGCCCGUAGUAUUAAAUUGAAAUCUAAAGCUGAGAAAAUGGUGAAAAAUUUGAAAAAAUUAGAUUUGAAAGUAAAUAAAACAAGAAUAACAACAACAAAGGAUAAAACAGCAUACAUUAACAAACAAAUGAAGGAAUUGCAUCAAGAAGUGUGUAGAUCACAUAAGAAGAAAUCUAAUACUGAAAAAGUGCAGAAGCAAGCAAAUAAAAAAAUAAUCAGAAGUUCAAUGCCAGUACAAACUGAUGCAACAACAAUCUUAGUAGAACAAAUGCAAAUAUGAGAGUUACUACUCUUUGAACUUAUUUGUAUCGAAAGUAAUUUUUUAUACGAUUAAUAAAAAAUAUUAUAUUUGUUAUAUUUGUUAUACAAGUAAAUAAAUAUAUGUGCAUAUAACCUAA